UCAGAAGGAGUUUCAAGUUCAUCAUGUUCAACAGAAUCACUGCCACAAGCAAUAAUCUUGAAACAAGAAGAAGCUGUUGAUUUUCCCAUAUUUUUUUUUCUUCGUUUUUUUCUCUCAGUCACUGAUUGACCAGUCUUCUCUAGCCUUUUUUGCUCCAGUGUUGUAGUAGUAGUACUAGCACAUAUUCUAUUCUUCUUUUUUUCCUCUCAGUCACUGAUUGACCAGUCUUCUCUAGCCUUUUUUUGCUCCAGUGUUGUAGUAGUAGUAGAUAUUCUAUAGUUGUUGGAAAUUGUACCUAAUGAGCUGAUAAUAAUAAAAAAAGUUAAAAAAUAAAAAGAUAAAAAGUUUUUUUUAAGAACACGGACCUCAACACUCUCCUAAAAUCUAGCUGACUUCAGUAUUUUCAGGUCCGUAGUUU
rnacentral:lncRNA from 1 species